rnacentral:rRNA from 1 species
UCGAACGCGAAAGUCCCGCAAGGGAUCAGUAGAGUGGCAAACGGGUGAGUAACGCGUGGGCGACCUACCUCUGAGUGGGGGAUAACCUUCCGAAAGGAGGGCUAAUACCGCAUGACAUCCCAUGUUUGGAUACAUGGACAUCAAAGCCGGGGAUCGCAAGACCUGGCGCUUGGAGAGGGGCCCGCGUCCGAUUAGCUAGUUGGUGAGGUAAUGGCUCACCAAGGCUCCGAUCGGUAUCCGGCCUGAGAGGGCGGACGGACACACUGGGACUGAGACACGGCCCAGACUCCUACGGGAGGCAGCAGUGGGGAAUUGUUCGCAAUGGGCGCAAGCCUGACGACGCAACGCCGCGUGGAGGAUGAAGACCUUCGGGUCGUAAACUCCUUUCGACCGAGAUGAAUUCCCGACGGCCUAACAUGCCGGCGGGGUGACAGUAUCGAGGGAAGAAGCCCCGGCUAACUCCGUGCCAGCAGCCGCGGUAAUACGGGGGGGGCAAGCGUUGUUCGGAAUUACUGGGCGUAAAGGGUUCGUAGGUGGCUUGUUAAGUCAGACGUGAAAUCCCUCGGCUCAACCGGGGAACUGCGUCUGAGACUGAUGAGCUCGAGUGCAGGAGAGGAACGCGGAAUUCCAGGUGUAGCGGUGAAAUGCGUAGAUAUCUGGAGGAACACCGGUGGCGAAGGCGGCGUUCUGGACUGCAACUGACACUGAGGAACGAAAGCCAGGGGAGCA